rnacentral:rRNA from 1 species
AGUGAACGCUGGCGGCGUGCCUAAUACAUGCAAGUCGAACGGAGUGGCUCACGGGUGAGUAAUGUAUAUCUAAUCUACACCCCACUAGCGGACAACAGUUGGAAACGACCGCCAAUACUCUAUAGUGUAGGAUGAGGCUUUAUUGUAUCAGCUAGUUGGUGAGGUAAUGGCUCACCAAGGCUAUGACGAGUAACUGGUCUGAGAGGAUUAUCAGUCACACUUGAACUGAGAAACGGGCCGGACUCCUACGGGAAGCAGCAGUAGGGAAUAGUGCUCAAUGGGGGAAACCCUGAAGCGGCAACGCCGCGUGGAGGAUGACACUUUUCGGAGCGUAAACUACUUUUGUUAGGGAAGCGGUACCUAACGAAUAAGCACCGGCUAACUCCGUGCCAGCAGCCGCGGUAAUAC